rnacentral:misc_RNA from 1 species
UGUCAGCGGUUCAAAUCCGUUAUCGCCCACCAUCAUUCAGGGGCCGUCCUUCGGGGCGGCCCUUUUUCUUUGCCCCG